CAUCGAGCAGGGCAGGCUCAAGUUCGAGGUCCCGACAAAGCCAGCAAAGCCAAUGAAGAUUGAUUAGCACCCUUUCCCCACUAACAUGGUUGAUACGGGAAGGAACGCGCUUUAGACCAAAGUGCUGACGUCGGAAUUGGCCAAGAAAAGCGGAGUUGUGGACCCCAGAAAUCAGGCUACGGUUGAAGAUGUCAAGGGGAAGAGACGGGUUGACGAUGAGGGUGAAGGAUCGGAAAGGCUGCGCAAAC
rnacentral:lncRNA from 1 species